rnacentral:rRNA from 1 species
CAAGGAGACAGGUGGUGCAUGGUUGUCGUCAGCUCGUGUCGUGAGAUGUUGGGUUAAGUCCCGCAACGAGCGCAACCCCUGUGGUUACGUUGCCAGCAAGUAGCGUUGGGCACUCUAGCCAGACUGCCGGUGGAGUAAAUCGGAGGAAGGUGGGGACGACGUCAAAUCAUCAUGCCCUUUAUGUCCUGGGCUACACACGUACUACAAUGGCCGUUACAACGGGAAGCGAAGGAGCAAUCCGGAGCAAAUCCCUUAAAGGCGGUCCCAGUUCAGAUUGUGGGCUGAAACUCGCCCACAUGAAGGCGGAAUUGCUAGUAAUUGCAGAUCAGCAUGCUGCAGUCGAAUACGUUCCCGGGCCUU